CCCAGGAGUCCAUCCUGAGGGUCUUUGUGGCUUAACUCUUGCUGCCUUUGUCUCUCACCAGACUGGAGCCAGGGAUCCGGCCUUUACAGGCAGGCUCACAGGGCGUCCGGUUUGGAAGUGAAUGGUAGUGCUCCUGCUUGUGAUGGAAUGGACCAGGCUUCUGCUUUUAUCUGGGUGGGACUCAGUGGCCUGGCCACCCUCCGUGGAAGCAGGAAAGCUAAGAAGAUAAUACAGUACGACCAGGUCUGCCAAGCUCCCUUCCCUGCUCUGAGAUUUCAGCUUUCCAGGGAAAAUCGUCAUACCGGAAAUGUGGAUCGCACACUGCAUAAUCUUCCAGGACGCGUACAGCUGUGACAUCCCACGACUGCAGACGUGUGGCUGGCUGGGACUGAGUAUUCCUAGGGAGAGCAAUUUGAUGGAUUCACGGAUACCUCCCAACUUGCUGUCACGGAGCCAUGAAGGAAUGGGCUGGGAGCUGUGCUCCACGUCUUGUAACCCUGGGAUCUAGACUGACAGCCCACCUAUAUCUUAUUCUGUAGCUGGGCCACUGCUGUGCUGUGCGAGCGGGAAAAGUAUUCCGGAGAAUAGCAACACCAGCAAACAAAUGCUCAACCAACAGCUUUGGCCCCUGCCCAUGGGAGUAGGUCGUGAUCACUCCAGCAAAACGAUGUGGGGACACGUCUCAUCGACUGUGCAGUGAGCAUGACAGAUGCUUCAGAUUGAUACCCAUCUCAGAAACACAGAAGUCAACUGUAAUCGAGACUGAGAUCACAUUAGCUGUCUGCAGGGAACUGGCACUGGUGACCAAGUCAGGCAGACUGAGAAUCAGAGCAGUGAGUCAGUAUGACGUGCAUUUGGAAUUGCUCUCUAACCCAGCGGCACGUAGAACUGGGAACCGAGACUGGAUGUGAGAGGGCAAACAUUCUGUCCUCUGCAGCCAACUUGGCUAUCAAGAGGGGCACAGCUGCUCCUUCCAAGAGAAAAUGAUCUGGAUCUACCAAAAGAAAGUGGAUUGUUAACUUGGACAAAUUAGAAUGUAUUCAUACCUCAUGGAAUUUAAAAGGAUUUUUGAGAUUUGACGGAUCCGCAAAAGCCAAAGUCUGGGAACAAGAGAGUUCUCAAGAACACAGUGUGCAACCGUUGAUAGCUAUUGGGAGAACAAUGGACUGCGAGGCAACAGGCCAGAGUUCAAGUCCAGAUUCUGUCACUAACUGAAUAUGUAAUCAUCUGCUAAUUGCUUCACGUAACAAUGGGGCACCCAUGUUUGUAUUUGACGAACAGGAUGCUGGAGAGGAUGUGUUUUCCAGAUCUGUUACAGAGGUGCUGAGUUGGUGCAGAGUCACAUCUAGAGCCACAGGAAAGGGAGCAGAAGACAUAUAUGAGUAAAACAUUCGUUGAAUUGCACCAUCCCUUCAGUCAAAACUCUCCAGAGGUGAAGACUUACCUCACUCUGAAUAAAAGACCUUCCAGUUAUUCCAGAUAUAAAUCAGGUAACUGAACUUGGAGUGCCUUUGAGAUUCUCAUCUGAUGACCUUACUACGGAGCAUAAAGCUUCCCGGAUGACUGCAGCCACAUGAUCUCUGAGGUUUAACUCACUUUGUAUUUACUGGCAGCACUGCACACCUGCCAGGCUAUGCUUUCUUGCCUCCUGCUUUGAAAUAUCAUCAAAACAAAGAAAACAAAUUCUGAUUAUGACUGAAUGGUUUGUACCUAAGUCGAUGACUUUGGAGUUUUGUUCAAGAUCUGGGCUCACUCCAGUCCUGAAGAUAACCCUGCAGGCUAGUUACAGAAUUGUUACACAACUUAAAAAACAGAAACAAGAAAAGAGUUCUUUGCAUAAUAUAUUCUAGUAUCGAAGGGAACUAGUUUUGAUUUUGUUUUUAAAGGCUUAAACUUUUCCCCUUUCCCACCAUGAAUAAAGACAGUUCUCUAAGGGCAAAACAAAACCUUUGAGCUGUAGACCCCAAACCUUGUCCAAAGCUGCCCUACAGAUAACUGCAGUGGGAUUUUUAAAAUUUUCAAGGUAAACAUGGCAAUAGUUGACGUUUAUUUGGACCCUAUGUGAACUUCCAGCUAGAUAUGGGUUAUAGUUUCAACACUAAAUCAUGUUGCCCUCCUUUCAGUGACAUGUAUCAUAUAUCUUUUGUCUUGGUAGUUGUGAUAAAAAGCAAAUGUGGUGUGAAAGUUGACAUGGAACAGGAAAUGAAGAUUGCCAUAUGCAAUCUAAUUCCAAGGUUUGGGAAUUUGUGCACUGUGCAACACGUGCACACAUCCUGUGAGUCGGUAUUGAAAUUAAAGAAUGAA